GAUGAACGCUGGCGGCGUGCCUAAUACAUGCAAGUCGAGCGAAUGGAUUAAGAGCUUGCUCCUAUGAAGUUAGCGGCGGACGGGUGAGUAACACGUGGGUAACCUGCCCAUAAGACUGGGAUAACUCCGGGAAACCGGGGCUAAUACCGGAUAACAUUUUGAACCGCAUGGUUCGAAAUUGAAAGGCGGCUUCGUCUGUCACUUAUGGAUGGACCCGCGUCGCAUUAGCUAGUUGGUGAGGUAACGGCUCACCAAGGCAACGAGGCGUAGCCGACCUGAGAGGGUGAUCGGCCACACUGGGACUGAGACACGGCCCAGACUCCUACGGGAGGCAGCAGUAGGGAAUCUUCCGCAAUGGACGAAAGUCUGACGGAGCAACGCCGCGUGAGUGAUGAAGGCUUUCGGGUCGUAAAACUCUGUUGUUAGGGAAGAACAAGUGCUAGUUGAAUAAGCUGGCACCUUGACGGUACCUAACCAGAAAGCCACGGCUAACUACGUGCCAGCCGCCGCCGUAA
rnacentral:rRNA from 1 species